rnacentral:ncRNA from 1 species
GCACUGGGAAGGCAGCUACACCGCAGUGUCUUUUUGCCUUAUGUCGAAGAAGAGCGGCAUCAGAGGUAGGGACGGUGC